GAUGAAGAACGUAGCGAAAUGCGAUAAGUAAUGCGAAUUGCAGAAUCCGUGAGUCAUCGAAUCUUUGAACGCACAUUGCGCCCCUUGGUUAUUCCGAAGGGCAUGCCUGUUCGAGCGUCAUUAUCACCCCUCAAGCCCUGGCUUGGUGUUGGACUUUAGUUAUAGCUUUGCCUAUCAACUGGUCUCAAAGAUAGUGACGGCGCCCCAGAGGGAACCGGGUACGAGGAGCUUUUUACUAAGCAUGUAUCUGGGACGACUCUGGGCGACGGUCUUGUUAUACUUUUUACCUAAGUGUUGACCUCGGAUCAGGUAGGAAUACCCGCUCAACUUAAGCAUAUCAAUAAGCGGAGGA
rnacentral:misc_RNA from 1 species